rnacentral:rRNA from 1 species
UUGUGCCUACGGGGCGCAGCAGUGGGGAAUAUUGCACAAUGGGGGGAACCCUGAUGCAGCGACGCCGCGUGGGUGAAGAAGUCAUUCGUGACGUAAAGCCCUAUCAGCAGGGAAGAAAAUGACGGUACCUGACUAAGAAGCCCCGGCUAACUACGUGCCAGCAGCCGCGGUAAUACGUAGGGGGCAAGCGUUAUCCGGAUUUACUGGGUGUAAAGGGAGCGUAGGUGGCAUUGUAAGCCAGAAGUGAAAACCCGGGGCUCAACCCCGCGGAUUGCUUUUGGAACUAUCAGGCUGGAGUGCUGGAG